AGGUCAAGCUAGAAAGGGCGCAGGGCGAAUGCCUUGGCAUUAGGAGCCGAAGAAGGACGUGGCAAACUACGAAAAGCUGCGGGGAGUCGUAAGCAGACAUUGAUCCGCAGAUAUCCGAAUGGAGCAAUCCGGUACGAGUAACGUCGUAUCAACGUAUACUGAAUCCAUAGGUAUGCGUGGGGAACCGCCUGAACUGAAACAUCUAAGUAGGGCGAGGAAAAGAAAUCAACCGAGAUUCCGCAAGUAGUGGCGAGCGAACGCGGAGAAGGCCAAACCAGAGGUAGAAAUAUCUUUGGGGUUGCGGACUGCAUUUAAGAUUGCUGAGAGUUAGCUGAAGUGCAUGGGAAGGCACACCAGAGAAUGUGAGAGUCAUGUAAGCGAAAACUCAAGGCACUGAGCAGGAUCCAGAGUACCGCGGGACACGUGAAACCCCGUGGGAAGCAGGGGGGACCACCCUCCAAGCCUAAACACUACCUAAUGACCGAUAGCGAAAAGUACUGUGAAGGAAAGGUGAAAAGCACCCCGGGAGGGGAGUGAAAGAGAACCUGAAACCCUGUGCCUACAAGCACAUAGAGCACGUCAACGUGUGAUAUGGUACCUAUUGUAGAAUGGUCCGGCGAGUAUUCGUAUGUAGCAAGGUUAAGCACUUAAGGUGUGGAGCCGAAGGGAAGCCGAGUCUGAAGAGGGCGUACAGUUGCAUGCGAAUGACCCGAAACCGGGUGACCUAUCCAUGUCCAGGCUGAAGUUGGGGUAAGACCCAAUGGAGGGCCGAACCGACCUCCGUUGAAAAGGCGGCGGAUGAGGUGUGGAUAGCGGUGAAAUUCCAAUCGAACCCGGAUAUAGCUGGUUCUCCCCGAAAUAGCUUUAGGGCUAGCCUCAUAAUAGAUUACUGGAGGUAAAGCACUGAAUGGGCUAGGGGUCGAGAGAUUACCGAACCCUAUCAAACUCUGAAUGCCAGAUAAUCGUUUUAUGGGAGUCAGACUGUGUGAGAUAAGUUUCAUAGUCGAAAGGGAAAGAGCCCAGACCCACAGCUAAGGUCCCAAAGUAGAUUUAAGUGGAAAAGGAUGUGGAACUGCUAAAACAACCAGGAUGUUGGCUUAGAAGCAGCCAUACAUUUAAAGAGUGCGUAAUAGCUCACUGGUCGAGUGGUUCUGCGCCGAAAAUUCAACGGGGCUAAAAUCUACACCGAAGCUUGGGCAGUAUUUUGUACUGGGUAGGGGAGCGUCGUAUAUUGGGCGAAGUCAGAGCGGAAGCGCUGGUGGACGAUAUACGAGUGAGAAUGCCGGAAUGAGUAGCGAGAAUUAUGUGAGAAUCAUAAUGGCCGAAAGACUAAGGUUUUAGGAGGAAGGUUCGUCCGCUCCUAGUUAGCCGGGAGCUAAGGUGAGGCCGAGAGGCGUAGCCGAUGCACAUACGGUUGAGAUUCCGUAGCCUCCGAAGGAUUUAAGCAGAAGGACACUUUCAAAGGGCAUGAGCCGGGCGAUGGUAGACCCGGUCGUAAGGGACCGAAAUUAAGUAGGGAAGCAUGCUUAGAGGAAGGCGAGAAAAGUUCUGUGUAUAUCCGAGGAGCCCGUACCGCAAACCGACACAGGUAGUUAGGAAGAGAAUUCUAAGGCCAACGGGAGAAGGGUUGUUAAGGAACUCGGCAAGUUGACCCCGUAACUUAGGGAGAAGGGGUGCUCACGAAGGUGAGCCGCAGAGAAUAGGCCCAGGCGACUGUUUAGCAAAAACACAGGUCUCUGCUAAAUCGAAAGAUGACGUAUAGGGGCUGACACCUGCCCGGUGCCGGAAGGUUAAGAGGAGGAGUGAGAGCUCUGAAUUGAAGCCCCGGUAAACGGCGGCCGUAACUAUAACGGUCCUAAGGUAGCGAAAUUCCUUGUCAGGUAAGUUCUGACCCGCACGAAUGGUGUAACGAUCUGGGCACUGUCUCAACAACCCGCCCGGCGAAAUUGUAGUACCGGUGAAGAUGCCGGUUACCCGCGACUAGACGGAAAGACCCCAUGGAGCUUUACUGUAGCUUAAUGUUGGAUUUUGGUAUGUGAUGUACAGGAUAGGUGGGAGACUAGGAAGCAUAGGCGUCAGCUUAUGUGGAGUCAACCUUGGGAUACCACUCUUUAUGUACUGAAAUUCUAACCUGCGGCCAUGAAUCUGGUCGGGGGACAUCGUUAGGUGGGCAGUUUGACUGGGGCGGUCGCCUCCAAAAGAGUAACGGAGGCGCUCAAAGGUUCGCUCAGCAUGGACGGAAACCAUGCUCUUGAGUGUAAACGCAAAAGCGAGCCUAACUGCGAGACUGACGGGUCGAGCAGUAACGAAAGUUGGAGUUAGUGAUCCGGCGGUAUGAGAGUGGAAUUGCCGUCGCUCAACGGAUAAAAGCUACCCUGGGGAUAACAGGCUGAUCUCCCCCAAGAGUCCACAUCGACGGGGAGGUUUGGCACCUCGAUGUCGGCUCAUCGCAUCCUGGGGCUGUAUUCGGUCCCAAGGGUUUGGCUGUUCGCCAAUUAAAGCGGUACGCGAGCUGGGUUCAGAACGUCGUGAGACAGUUCGGUCCCUAUCUGUCGUGGGCGCAGGAUAUUUGAGAGGAGCUGUCCCUAGUACGAGAGGACCGGGAUGGACGCACCUCUGGUGCACCAGUUGUCAGGCCUACUGGCACAGCUGGGCAGCUAUGUGCGGAACGGAUAAACGCUGAAGGCAUCUAAGCGUGAAGCCGACCUCAAGAUAAGAUAUCCCACUGAGUUAAUCAGGUAAGACCCCUUGAAGACUACGAGGUAGAUAGGCUCAAAGUGUAAGCGUGGCGACACGUUCAGCUAGCGAGUACUAAUCGGUCGAGGGCUUGACCUCAAA
rnacentral:rRNA from 1 species